rnacentral:rRNA from 1 species
CAGCUCUCCGAGUGGUAGGGAUGAUUAUUGGGCUUAAAGCGUCCGUAGCCUGCUUAGCAAGUCUCCUGUUAAAUUCAGCGACCUAAUCGUUGAGCCGCGGGAGAUACUACUAGGCUAGGAGGCGGGAGAGGUCGACGGUACUUCUGGGGUAGGGGUGAAAUCCUAUAAUCCCAGGAGGACCACCAGUGGCGAAGGCUGUCGACUAGAACGCGCUCGACGGUGAGGGACGAAAGCUGGGGGAGCGAACCGGAUUAGAUACCCGCGUAGUCC